GACAGAGGGUGCAAACGUUGUUCGGAAUUACUGGGCGUAAAGCGCGUGUAGGCGGUCAGGCAAGUCGGAUGUGAAAUCCCGUGGCUCAACUACGGAAGUGCACCCGAAACUGCUUGACUUGAGUCCCGGAGAGGAAGGCGGAAUGCUUGGUGUAGAGGUGAAAUUCGUAGAUAUCAAGCGGAACACCGGUGGCGAAGGCGGCUUCCUGGACCGGUACUGACGCUGAGGCGCGAAAGCUAGGGGAGCAAACGGG
rnacentral:rRNA from 1 species